rnacentral:rRNA from 1 species
CGUGCCGCAGCAAACGCAUUAAGUGCCCCGCCUGGGGAGUACGGCCGCAAGGCUAAAACUCAAAGGAAUUGACGGGGGCCCGCACAAGCGGCGGAGCAUGCGGAUUAAUUCGAUGCAACGCGAAGAACCUUACCAAGGCUUGACAUACACCGGAAACGGCCAGAGAUGGUCGCCCCGCAAGGUCGGUGUACAGGUGGUGCAUGGUUGUCGUCAGCUCGUGUCGUGAGAUGUUGGGUUAAGUCCCGCAACGAGCGCAACCCUCGUCCCAUGUUGCCAGCGGGUUAUGCCGGGGACUCAUGGGAGACUGCCGGGGUCAACUCGGAGGAAGGUGGGGAUGACGUCAAAUCAUCAUGCCCCUUAUGUCUUGGGCUUCACGCAUGCUACAAUGGCCGGUACAAAGGGCUGCGAUACCGCGAGGUGGAGCGAAUCCCAAAAAGCCGGUCUCAGUUCGGAUUGGGGUCUGCAACUCGACCCCAUGAAGUCGGAGUCGCUAGUAAUCGCAGAUCAGCAACGCUGCGGUGAAUACGUUCCCGGGCCUUGUACACACCGCCCGUCAAGUCACGAAAGUCGGUAACACCCGAAGCCGGUGGCCCAACC